rnacentral:ribozyme from 14 species
AUAAGCCCGAGAGCCCCACGAGAAGAUCGCGACGGCUACAAAACUGCGCGAGUCGCGGUUCUGACAGCUGCCUUGGCAGCAGCCAAGGCGCCACGGGGACGAAGAUCGCCAGGAGACAUGAAACGGUGAAACGCCGC